rnacentral:rRNA from 1 species
AUUGAACGCUGGCGGCAUGCCUUACACAUGCAAGUCGAACGGUAACAGGUCUUCGGAUGCUGACGAGUGGCGAACGGGCGAGUAAUACAUCGGAACGUGCCUAGUAGUGGGGGAUAACUACUCGAAAGAGUGGCUAAUACCGCAUGAGAUCUACGGAUGAAAGCAGGGGAUCGCAAGACCUCGUGCUACUAGAGAGGCCGAUGGCAGAUUAGGGAGUUGGUGGGAUAAAAGCUUACCAAGCCGACGAUCUGUAGCUGGUCUGAGAGGACGAUCAGCCACACUGGGACUGAGAAACGGCCCAGACUCCUACGGGAGGCAGCAGUGGGGAAUUUUGGACAAUGGGCGAAAGCCUGAUCCAGCAAUGCCGCGUGCAGGAUGAAGGCCUUCGGGUUGUAAACUGCUUUUGUACGGAACGAAAAGCCCCGGGUUAAUACCCUGGGGUCAUGACGGUACCGUAAGAAUAAGCACCGGCUAACUACGUGCCAGCCGCCGCGGUAA